rnacentral:lncRNA from 1 species
CUAUCUUCAGGAUCUAGAACAGUGCCUGGCACAUAGCAGAUGAGGAAGUGAGGCCAAGGAGGAUAAACCAUUCGGCCAACGGUACAAAGAACACCUAGGGAAUGAGUGAAGAUGGGGAAGAGGUCCAAAGAUUGAAAUCUGGGGCUCAACAUUAAAAGCCAGCAAACGAGACUGAGAAGGAGCAUCUUGCAAGGUGGAAAGACAACCAGGAGAAUGGAGCUUUCUGGAAGCCAAGAGAAGCAAGUGCUGAAAGGAGGCGGGGAUACCCAACUGUGUCUGAUCUAAUCAGUUGCAAGGCCUUAAGAACAGAACUAAGGUUUCCCAGAGGAAGAAGGAAUUCCACCUGUGGACUGCAGCAUCGGCUCCUGCAGGAGGGUUUCCAGCCUUCCUCCCCGACAGCCUGCCUCAAGGAUUUCAGACUUGCCUAGCCAACUCCUACAAUUGCAUAUGCCAAUUCCUUGCAAUAAAUCUUUCUCUCUGUAUCUUCAUCUCUCUCUAUAUAUACCUUCUAUCCC